GCCUAGCAGUGCAAGUAGUUGUAGAUCUCGUGGCUAGGUCAUUAAAACACCUUAGAUAAAUCGUUUUUUAAUAUAUAAACUUAUUUUUGCUAAAUGUACAGGUAGAAAUAUGGGAUGUGCCUUAGUUGGGGACAUAAGAAUGAAUGGUACUUUAAAAGCCCCAGUGACGUCAGUGGCAAUGACUGAGAACGGGCGGGACAGGGAGAUCGGUGGCGGGACUCUUUAAUGGUGACCCCUGUCCAUAAGGCUCUUGUCACAUGUCCACGGCUCACGAGUUAGCACUCAGUUCCUCUUGAUUUAACGUCAAAUCAGGCUUUUCAAAAGGAGCUAUAUCCAUUUUUACAUUGCUUCUUAUGCAGCUUGAACGAGCACACCCAUCUUUCCUCUUGCACAUAGUUCCUUUUAGCAUAAAUACGUCCAUAUGAAGCUUUAACCAUGAAAUUAUCAAUAAAGACUUACAUUGUCAAUCCAUUUUUUAGGAAACCAACAACGUUUGCAACGUUGAAGUGGGGAGGAUAAGACAAAAUUUGUUUUUGCGCUACCAGGUAACCCAGCCUCAUCACUAGCAACAGCCAUUUUGUUUGUUCUUCCAGCACUUCGACUGAUGGAGGGUCUCAGCUGCUAUAACUCUAAGGCAGAUAUUUCUGUGGUUACAAAAGAUUCUUCCUAUAAACUGGAUACGAGACCUGAGUAUUAUCGCUCUGUAUUGAGAUAUUGCAAAAGUAUGGCGGAAGUUAUCAUUGAUGGGCCUCAAGCUAGUAGCGGUCUCAGUGAAUUUGCUCAAGCAACAGUUCUAGCCCGACUGCCUUCAAUUUCAGAAGCUUCGGCUGAUAAUUAUGGUCCUCAGCACACAAUAACACCCAAUACAGAGGCUCUCUGUCCAGUAUAUUUUAUUGGCCAGUACAUUUAGAGCAACAUUUUCCCCACAUGAGUUCCUACAGGAUGAGUUCUAGCCGUACAAGUUGCAGGAAGGUAUGAUUUUUCAAGUAAAUGUUAAGACAUCAUGAAACUAUUUAAGUGCCUCUUCCAUUAGAUAUAAGCUCUACAUGAAUUACGUAACUAAAAAAUUUCAAUAUUUUCAUACUUCCUAUUACCCUUUAGUAAUACUCUUCUGUCUGUUUCUUUACCUCAUAUUAAAGCCACCAGAGACACUUGAUACUCACGCACUACCCAUUCCCUGUAGUCAAUAGGAAAUUAAAUGAGCUAGACUGAAAAAGGGUAUUUUUAGGCUCAUAGGGCAUAACAUAGGGGUGCAAACAUUUUCCGGCCAUGGGACCAGCUCAGUCGUGUGAAAAGUGGGGGAAACCGCUGUGAGAACAGGAAGUAAUAGGAAAGCCUCUAUGAAGAUGAGACAAAAACAGGGAGCCUCACCUAAAAUAAGGUUUAUUUUUUUCCUCUGGGGGAAGCAAUCAUGAGUUUUGAUCUAAAAUGGAGAAGGUUGAUUGAAUUGGGGGAAGACCAAUUGAAUUUGAAGGAAAGCUUAGAACUGAAGGGAAGUCUCAGUAGAGUAGGGAAUCAUUUCUAAUAAUUUUAAUCAAGACAAGGUAAACAUUAUACUAUCAUCAGGAUCUCAGCAAUUAUGACACUAAAUUUUUGAAAACUAGUUUGCUUAAAAUUGCACAAAAAGUUUGCUACGAAGACCUCCGAGGUUAAUGUUUUGAUUGACUGAAGGUUUUUUUUUUGGAGUAUUCUCUUAGGUUGUCUUUUCUUUUAAUGUUUAAAAGAGCUCUAGCAGUUUUUUAAUCUUGUAAUUUUAAUUAAUUCAAAUUAUUGAAUAGAAAAUAAUGUCAUUGUUGAUUUACAAUUAAAUUAUGGUUAUUGUGAAUUUGUGCCGCAUAAAACUGUGUUUUAUGCUAAGUUAACUUGUCAGAAUUUUAUUGUCUUGCUUGCUCGUUUGUUUGUUCAUUUCUUUGUUUCUUUGUUUGUUUGUUUCUUUUUUUCUUCCCUUCUUUAUUUGUUCGUUGGUUUGUUUGUUUCUUGGUUUUUUAAAAUGUUCUUGGUCGAAGUUAUUUAUGUCCAAUUUCAAUUUCCGAAACCUUUCUCAAUUUUCAUAGUUUUCGUACAGUUGCUCAAUUAUAUUCACUGUUGUAGUGUGAUAGUGAAAUUUCAAUUUUCUUUUCCAAAAAUUGUUGACAAGGGAAUUUUGUAUUUCUAUGUAUUUUGUCUUUACUUUUAAGUGAAGACAGGGAUGCAGACGGUGUUUUCCUCUCAUAUCAUCUUGGAGCUCUGAGGAAAAGCUUCCGAACUUUUUAUUUGAAAAUUCAAAAUAUCAAGUAAAAAUUUCAAAAGUACACAGGAGCAUUUGCAAUACUGUUACGUUUUGUUUUUUUUUUUAAAAAAAAAAAACUUAGGCUCUUUAAGUUUUGCCUGCCUUUUAUUAUGUCACAUGAAAUUUAGAUUCCCAUGAUCCAGAAUUUUUGUGUCCCUGUUAGAAAGCUGUCUGUCGUUAUUUUCUUGAAGUUUCCAAACAUUUUUUAUUAAUAUUUUAAGAAGACGAAUCUCAAAUUGAUGAUAGAGCCUAUAGUUUUUCCAUGACCCAUCAUCAGAUGAAGUAUUUUUUACCUAAGUUCUUUUUUUGUGUAAGUUGAUUGUUCCUAAACCUUUGAUUAGCAUUUAAUACCUGUAUGCUGUGUUAUACCUAAAAUGUACAAACAUUUCAAGUAUUUAAACUAAAACUAUUAUCAAAGUUAAAGUAAAAUUAGUUAAAUUGAAGCAAAGAAAAGUCAUGUAGUUGAAUACUUCCUACAAUGGGUAUAUUUUGUCUAUUAGCAGAUACAUAAUUAAGCAAGGAAAGAUUGAAUUUUUAAAUUUUAGCGAUUUUAUUCUUAAUAUUUGUGUAUUUACUGUCAAAAUCCUGAUGGCAAAUAUCCAGAUUAAAUGCAGAGUGAUGGCUGAAGUCAACAAAUGUACAACUCUGUUACCUAAAAAAUCUCAGAUUUUGUUUCAUUUUUAAGAGGGAUCUUACCAAAGUAGCUUCUUGAAAUUUCCAAUGGAUAUUUUAAAGUACCUUUUUUCAGAGAGUAUGGACGGAUGUGAUCCACGAGACGAUCUGCCCGAUACUUUGAAUGAGGGAAAUUUCAAAAAAUGUUAUAGGUUUGUGACUUUUCAACUGGAGAUACACAUUUUUAGACUCUAGCUAUUGAUGAGUCUAAUUCGUAAGAAGAGGUAAAACAGAGGUAACAGAAAAAAUGUAGUUCAGUUUUUCUGUAAGAAGUGGUGGUAUAAAUGGCGAUGUUUCACCUCAAGAUUCCUACCAUAAAGAGAUGCUCACGUAUAUAAUGUUGAGGCAAGUAGAAUUUUUACAUCAGCGUGUGUCAAAUUUUAUAAAUAUUUUACAGGAUGAUAUGCUCUAUUUCUAUUUGCGAGCUUUAAUUUUAUUUUUUUGUGGUGUAGUAAAUAACUUUACACCUGUAAACUCUCAUUUUUAUGUGUCAUUUUUCAUAGUUGCUAAGUGUUAAAAUCUGUCAAAUCUAUAUUUUUUCACGUUUUUAUGAAAGAAUCUUGUAUUUUCUGGUUUUUUAGUUGCUUUUGUGUACUUCUCUCUUUUAUAUUGAUCAGAAUACUAAGCACAAGGAAAAAUAAAGGUUUUUUAAGAUUUUUAAUCGAUGAUAUCCUGUGAUACUCCUGCAGAUGUAAAAUCAUGCAUCAAAAAUUAAAUGAGCUUCUCCAUUUCAUCACCAAAAAAUGUGUAAAAAUUCUAGGUGUUGGGCGUUUCAACAGAAUUCAUUUAUGGAAUUGUGAGAAAUUCUCUUUCACCAGGUUAUUUCAAGACCCCCCCCCCCUUUUUUUUUAAUUGAAUAUAUCUUUUGUAAAUACUUAAGAUCAGAAUAUGUGCAAAAUCCAAAGAAAUGAAAACGAAUCUGAAACUAAUGGAAAAAGCAGGUAAUUAACUGUGAGCUGGAUGCAUAAGAAAGGAAAGACAAUUUGAAAAUCAAAUUAAAGAUAAGGAAUGAGCAAUAUUGUCCCGUUAAAACUCUAAAAUAUGUCAGACUGAAUUAUUUUAAACGUUACUAAUAGAGCUCUUUUUUUAAUUUAUUUUUUUUUUACUUUUAAGUUCCUUUCAAUACUGAAUUGCUUAUUCCAUUUGAUUCGCUUGGAUUUCUUUUGGCAGCUCAUUGUAGGCUAGGAGAUGAGGCAAGGGAAAUAAAUAAUUGCUCCGUAGCCUCACACUUUUUUUAUUAUUCUAUUUUUUUUAAAAAAUUAAACAACAAGAAUUUGUUUAACAAAAUAUCUUUACAAAGAAGUGAUUAAUAUACUAUCUGAGUACCUACAUUAAUGACACAUCAAUUAUAUUUACAUCGUCGGAUAGACCCCAGAUUUGCACAACAUGAGUUCAAUUCUGUUUUUGCCAAAAUUGACCAUGGCCUUUUCAAGAUUCGCCAAAAGCCUCUUACAAAUUAAUGCUGAGACAGCAAAUUUUUAUUCUUUUACUCUACUCUUGUGUAUUCUUUACUAAAGUUUCACUGCGACCAUCAGCAUUUUACAGUACCAAAUAAUAGGUAACGUCAACUUAGCCUGAAUCAGAAAAGUUAAGUAUAAGUAUAAACAUUUCUCUAGGGCGCGUUUUAUCCGCCUGUUAAAAUUUGCCAUUAUAUAGUCCAUUGUAGGAUUAAUACAAUGACACUUAUUUUACUAAAUGAGAUCAAGGUCCACAAAUUAAUUUCUGGUCCAAUAGAAUGACCUUAAAGGCAAAUAGUAGGUACCUAAUCAUCUGUACAAAGUCGUAGUUUGAAGGUUGCUACAAAGGAACCCUCCCAGAUUUGAUGAAUACUCCAGAAAUGAGUAGGAAUAAAGUUUGUACGCUGUGCUGAUGUGUAUAAAUCUCGUAAGUAAACUUCGGAGCACACAGCAAGAUGCCAGAUCUGCCGGUAUCAAAGGUGUUGACAGGACUCUGUAACAAACAAAAAUUAUACACAGUUAAUGUCUAUCAAAAAAGUUAGACAUGAUAGUGGUAUCGUGAUAGUUCCAAAGUGGUGCAAAUCAUCAGGAUCAACAGGACCCAUACCCAUAGUGAUGGGUGUGUAUUGCAUAGUGAUGAGAGGAAAGCAGCCUCAACCGUUUUUCGCUGUUGUAAGGGUCGUUCCAUGGUUUACACUGUGAUUAUGGAAUGAGGUUAAGGCGUUCCUUAACAUGUGAAGCAUCAUACACAGUAGUCUUGAAGCGAAAAAAAAAAAAAAUGCGACAAAAAUGUAUCCAAAAACGGUUUGCAAGGGCUGCAUCUAUGGUACGUGUCGACUUAAAAUCGCGAAAAAUCAAAAUCUUGGCUGAUCCUAAUUUCGAGAUACCUACUGCAAUUUGAAAUUUUCAUAUAAUAGUAAAUGCAAGUUUUCUACUGAUUUAUAUCCGCUUUUUUAUUCAUUUGUCCAUUGAAUCGGUGUCGGUCGGUUCAACUUUUUAUUUUUCGUUCGAUUCAUUUCGAACGAAUACAUAUCCUCUCGUCACAUGCAGACCACCUAUCAUACUCUUUUUUUUAACUGAACAAUCGCCUUCUGCUGCGCUCGCAGCAAUUGUUGUUACGAAUAUGUUGUGCGUGCUGAUUUCAGUUCAUUACAUACUCGACUCUCUGAAGGCGUUUUAUGUGCGCAAGUAGCGCAACCUGUCGGAGAACAAACGAAGUACGAUUAAGCGAUUCAUCCAUCCAUCCAAACUC
rnacentral:lncRNA from 1 species